rnacentral:lncRNA from 1 species
CAUCCGGGACCCCGGGGGCGGCCGGGACCCAAAGGAUCGAAAGGCUCAGAGGGACCAAAGGGAAAGCAAGGCAAGGCGGGGGCCCCAGGCCGGAGGGGGGUCCAGGGCCUGCAGGGGCUGCCAGGGCCCCGGGGCGUGGUGGGGAGACAGGGCCUCGAGGGCAUCGCUGGACCAGAUGGGCUUCCUGGCAGGGACGGGCAAGCAGGACAGCAGGGGGAGCAGGGAGACGAUGGGGACCCUGGCCCCAUGGGCCCUGCUGGGAAGAGAGGAAAUCCAGGUGUGGCCGGCUUACCUGGAGCACAGGGACCCCCAGGAUUCAAGGGUGAGAGUGGGUUACCCGGACAGCUGGGUCCCCCUGGCAAGCGAGGAACAGAGGGCAGAACGGGGCUCCCUGGAAACCAGGGGGAGCCUGGGUCCAAAGGCCAGCCGGGCGACUCUGGCGAGAUGGGCUUCCCAGGAAUGGCAGGUCUCUUCGGACCCAAGGGCCCGCCUGGAGACAUUGGCUUCAAAGGCAUCCAGGGCCCUCGGGGGCCACCUGGCUUGAUGGUGAGUUCCCUCCCUGCUGUCGGAGCAGAGAUGAUUGUCCUAGGCCCAAGGUUGGCCAGCCAUCAGCUGGCCUGUCUUCAUCCUCUUC